rnacentral:rRNA from 1 species
UGAGGAAUAUUGGUCAAUGGGCGAGAGCCUGAACCAGCCAAGUAGCGUGCAGGAUGACGGCCCUCCGGGUUGUAAACUGCUUUUAGUUGGGAAUAAAAAAAGGGACUUGUCCCUUCUUGUAUGUACCUUCAGAAAAAGGACCGGCUAAUUCCGUGCCAGCAGCCGCGGUAAUACGGAAGGUCCAGGCGUUAUCCGGAUUUAUUGGGUUUAAAGGGAGCGUAGGCGGAUUGUUAAGUCAGCGGUUAAAGGGUGUGGCUCAACCAUGCAUUGCCGUUGAAACUGGUGAUCUUGAGUGCAGACAGGGAUGCCGGAAUUCGUGGUGUAGCGGUGAAAUGCUUAGAUAUCACGAAGAACUCCGAUCGCGAAGGCAGGUGUCCGGGCUGCAACUGACGCUGAGGCUCGAAAGUGUGGGUAUCAAACAGGAUUAGAUACCCUGGUAGUCCACACAGUAAACGAUGUAUACUCGCGGUUUGCGAUAGACAGUAAGCCGCCAAGCGAAAGCAUUAAGUAUACCACCUGGGGAGUACGCCGGCAACGGUG